rnacentral:rRNA from 1 species
AACAAAAACAUGUCCUUUUGAUAUUUAUAUAAGGUCUGACCUGCCCACUGAUUAAUUGAAUGGCCGCAGUAUUUUGACUGUGCAAAGGUAGCAUAAUCAUUAGUUUUUUAAUUAAAAGCUUGUAUGAAGGGUUGGACGAGGUAAAAUCUGUCUCUGUUUAAUUUAUUUUAGAAUUUAAUUUUUAAGUUAAAAAGCUUAAAUUAUUAUAAAAGACGAGAAGACCCUAUAGAUCUUUAUAUUAUUAUAAAUAGUUUUAAUUAGGAAUAUUUUAUUUUUUAUUUAUAUUAAUAUUUUAUUGGGGUAAUAAAAAGAUUAAAUAAAUUCUUUUUAAAAUUUAAUACUAAUUAGUAAUUAUGUGAUCCAAUAUUUUUGAUUAUAAGAUUAAGUUACCUUAGGGAUAACAGCGUAAUUUUUUUUGAGAGUUCAUAUCGAUAAAAAAGUUUGCGACCUCGAUGUUG